rnacentral:rRNA from 1 species
CGGGACACGUGGUAUCCUGUCUGAAUAUGGGGGGACCAUCCUCCAAGGCUAAAUACUCCUGACUGACCGAUAGUGAACCAGUACCGUGAGGGAAAGGCGAAAAGAACCCCGGCGAGGGGAGUGAAAAAGAACCUGAAACCGUGUACGUACAAGCAGUGGGAGCACGCUUAGGCGUGUGACUGCGUACCUUUUGUAUAAUGGGUCAGCGACUUAUAUUCUGUAGCAAGGUUAACCGAAUAGGGGAGCCGAAGGGAAACCGAGUCUUAACUGGGCGUUAAGUUGCAGGGUAUAGACCCGAAACCCGGUGAUCUAGCCAUGGGCAGGUUGAAGGUUGGGUAACACUAACUGGAGGACCGAACCGACUAAUGUUGAAAAAUUAGCGGAUGACUUGUGGCUGGGGGUGAAAGGCCAAUCAAACCGGGAGAUAGCUGGUUCUCCCCGAAAGCUAUUUAGGUAGCGCCUCGUGAAUUCAUCUCCGGGGGUAGAGCACUGUUUCGGCAAGGGGGUCAUCCCGACUUACCAACCCGAUGCAAACUGCGAAUACCGGAGAAUGUUAUCACGGGAGACACACGGCGGGUGCUAACGUCCGUCGUGAAGAGGGAAACAACCCAGACCGCCAGCUAAGGUCCCAAAGUCAUGGUUAAGUGGGAAACGAUGUGGGAAGGCCCAGACAGCCAGGAUGUUGGCUUAGAAGCAGCCAUCAUUUAAAGAAAGCGUAAUAGCUCACUGGUCGAGUCGGCCUGCGCGGAAGAUGUAACGGGGCUAAACCAUGCACCGAAGCUGCGGCAGCGACGCUUAUGCGUUGUUGGGUAGGGGAGCGUUCUGUAAGCCUGUGAAGGUGUACUGUGAGGUAUGCUGGAGGUAUCAGAAGUGCGAAUGCUGACAUAAGUAACGAUAAAGCGGGUGAAAAGCCCGCUCGCCGGAAGACCAAGGGUUCCUGUCCAACGUUAAUCGGGGCAGGGUGAGUCGACCCCUAAGGCGAGGCCGAAAGGCGUAGUCGAUGGGAAACAGGUUAAUAUUCCUGUACUUGGUGUUACUGCGAAGGGGGGACGGAGAAGGCUAUGUUGGCCGGGCGACGGUUGUCCCGGUUUAAGCGUGUAGGCUGGUUUUCCAGGCAAAUCCGGAAAAUCAAGGCUGAGGCGUGAUGACGAGGCACUACGGUGCUGAAGCAACAAAUGCCCUGCUUCCAGGAAAAGCCUCUAAGCAUCAGGUAACAUCAAAUCGUACCCCAAACCGACACAGGUGGUCAGGUAGAGAAUACCAAGGCGCUUGAGAGAACUCGGGUGAAGGAACUAGGCAAAAUGGUGCCGUAACUUCGGGAGAAGGCACGCUGAUAUGUAGGUGAAGUCCCUCGCGGAUGGAGCUGAAAUCAGUCGAAGAUACCAGCUGGCUGCAACUGUUUAUUAAAAACACAGCACUGUGCAAACACGAAAGUGGACGUAUACGGUGUGACGCCUGCCCGGUGCCGGAAGGUUAAUUGAUGGGGUUAGCGCAAGCGAAGCUCUUGAUCGAAGCCCCGGUAAACGGCGGCCGUAACUAUAACGGUCCUAAGGUAGCGAAAUUCCUUGUCGGGUAAGUUCCGACCUGCACGAAUGGCGUAAUGAUGGCCAGGCUGUCUCCACCCGAGACUCAGUGAAAUUGAACUCGCUGUGAAGAUGCAGUGUACCCGCGGCAAGACGGAAAGACCCCGUGAACCUUUACUAUAGCUUGACACUGAACAUUGAGCCUUGAUGUGUAGGAUAGGUGGGAGGCUUUGAAGUGUGGACGCCAGUCUGCAUGGAGCCGACCUUGAAAUACCACCCUUUAAUGUUUGAUGUUCUAACGUUGACCCGUAAUCCGGGUUGCGGACAGUGUCUGGUGGGUAGUUUGACUGGGGCGGUCUCCUCCUAAAGAGUAACGGAGGAGCACGAAGGUUGGCUAAUCCUGGUCGGACAUCAGGAGGUUAGUGCAAUGGCAUAAGCCAGCUUGACUGCGAGCGUGACGGCGCGAGCAGGUGCGAAAGCAGGUCAUAGUGAUCCGGUGGUUCUGAAUGGAAGGGCCAUCGCUCAACGGAUAAAAGGUACUCCGGGGAUAACAGGCUGAUACCGCCCAAGAGUUCAUAUCGACGGCGGUGUUUGGCACCUCGAUGUCGGCUCAUCACAUCCUGGGGCUGAAGUAGGUCCCAAGGGUAUGGCUGUUCGCCAUUUAAAGUGGUACGCGAGCUGGGUUUAGAACGUCGUGAGACAGUUCGGUCCCUAUCUGCCGUGGGCGCUGGAGAACUGAGGGGGGCUGCUCCUAGUACGAGAGGACCGGAGUGGACGCAUCACUGGUGUUCGGGUUGUCAUGCCAAUGGCACUGCCCGGUAGCUAAAUGCGGAAGAGA